rnacentral:lncRNA from 1 species
AGAGAGUGUUGUUGUUUUAUGAGUCAACCAUAACCUUUGAAGAGUGCCUGGGACAUAAUGAUUGCUUCAGAAUAGAUUUAUAAAUGAAUGAGUAGUUAAACCAAGGUCAAACAGCUGGUAUCAGGAGAAGAAUUAGGGUUUAAGAAAGAGAAAUAGAAACAGCCAAACAAAACACUGGUAGGCAUUGACAACAACAACCUUAAGGAAACAUGCACUAAG